rnacentral:rRNA from 1 species
GAUGAACGCUGGCGGCGUGCUUAACACAUGCAAGUCGGACGAGAGUAGAGGCGCUUGCGCCAAAGCUCUAGUGGCGGACGGGUGAGGAACAUGUGGGUAAUCUAUCUAAGGCAGGGGGAUAACUGUGAGAAAUCACAGCUAAUACCGCGUAAGCUUAACAUAUGGCAUCAUAAGUUAAGGAAAGGAGCAAUCCGGCGACAGAGGAGCCCGCACCUGAUUAGCUAGUUGGUAAGGUAAAAGCUUACCAAGGCAACGAUCAGUAGCCGACCUGAGAGGGUGAUCGGCCACAUUGGGACUGAGACACGGCCCAAACUCCUACGGGAGGCAGCAGUGGGGAAUAUUGCGCAAUGGGGGAAACCCUGACGCAGCAACGCCGCGUGAAGGAAGAAGGUAUUCGUAUCGUAAACUUCUAUCGAGUGGGAAGAAAUAAAUGACGGUACCACAGUAAGAAGCCCCGGCUAACUACGUGCCAGCCGCCGCGGUAAAAC